rnacentral:lncRNA from 1 species
UCUAGGUUCAAGUUAAUUUCUGUUUUCUUUUUAUGAAAUCUUUUAAUUUUUCUUUUUAUGCAAUACAUUAAAUCUUCCUUUAUGCAAAUUGUGUUCACUUCAAUCUUCUUGUUUUCAUCCAUUUUAAUUUAUGCCAAAGCUUUUCUUUGAUUAGUUAAACAUAUAAAUGCUUUUCGAAUUUAAAUACAUGUCUUUUAGU